ensembl:snoRNA
AUCCUUUUGUAGUUCAGAAGCAUGAUGACCGGGUUUUCAUGCUCAUGUGUGAGAUGUGCCUCCCUCAAACCAUGUUAUGACGUUAGCACAUUACCCAUAUGAUG